GAAGUUUUCAGAGAUGAGAAUGUGCCUUCGGGAACCGUGAGACAGGUGCUGCAUGGCUGUCGUCAGCUCGUGUUGUGAAAUGUUGGGUUAAGUCCCGCAACGAGCGCAACCCUUAUCCUUUGUUGCCAGCGGUUAGGCCGGGAACUCAAAGGAGACUGCCAGUGAUAAACUGGAGGAAGGUGGGGAUGACGUCAAGUCAUCAUGGCCCUUACGACCAGGGCUACACACGUGCUACAAUGGCGCAUACAAAGAGAAGCGACCUCGCGAGAGCAAGCGGACCUCAUAAAGUGCGUCGUAGUCCGGAUUGGAGUCUGCAACUCGACUCCAUGAAGUCGGAAUCGCUAGUAAUCGUGGAUCAGAAUGCCACGGUGAAUACGUUCCCGGGCCUUGUACACACCGCCCGUCACACCAUGGGAGUGGGUUGCAAAAGAAGUAGGUAGCUUAACCUUCGGGAGGGCGCUUACCACUUUGUGAUUCAUGACUGGGGUGAAGUCGUAACAAGGUAACCGUAGGGGAACCUGCGGUUGGAUCACCUCCUUACCUUAAAGAA
rnacentral:rRNA from 3 species